rnacentral:piRNA from 1 species
UGGAUACAGCAGCACCCCAUGCUUUGAGUGA